rnacentral:lncRNA from 1 species
CCGGGACCCCCCGGGACCCCCCGGGACCCCCCGAGACCCUCCGAGACCCCCGGGCCCUCUCCCGCCGCCCCCGCGCCUCCCCGGUUCCCUCCGGGGGUCCCGCUCCGCACCGCGCCGGGGGGGGGCCGAGCUCCCCGCGACCCCCCCGCUGUCCCCCCCACGGCCGCGACCCCCGAACCCCCAAAAUCCCGACCCCCAGAAAUCCCAAACCACAAACGCCAAACCCCGAAGAUCCCACAUGGCGAAUCCCGAAGAUCCCAAACCCCGAAGAUCCCAAAUCCCAAAUCCUGAGGAUCCCAGACCUCAAUUCCCAAACCCCAAAGCCCAAACCUCAGGCCCCGAACAUCCCAGACCCCAAAUCCGAAAUCCCGAAAAUCCCGAAAAUCCCAAACCCCCAGACUCCACAUCCCAAACCCCAAACACCAAAUCUACGAGAUCCCAAACCCCGAAGAUCCCAAACCCCAAACCCCGAAAACCCCGAAUCCCAAAUCCCGAAAAUCCCAAACCCCACAGACCCCAAACCCCGCAGACCCCAAAGCCCGAAUCCCGAAGACCCCAGACCCCGAAUCCCGAAUCCCGAAGACCCCAGACCCCNNNNNNNNNNCCCCCCCCGGCACCCUCGAGACCCUCCCGGGACCCCCCGGGACCCCCCGGGACCCCCCGAGACCCUCCGAGACCCCCGGGCCCUCUCCCGCCGCCCCCGCGCCUCCCCGGUUCCCUCCGGGGGUCCCGCUCCGCACCGCGCCGGGGGGGGGCCGAGCUCCCCGCGACCCCCCCGCUGUCCCCCCCACGGCCGCGACCCCCGAACCCCCAAAAUCCCGACCCCCAGAAAUCCCAAACCACAAACGCCAAACCCCGAAGAUCCCACAUGGCGAAUCCCGAAGAUCCCAAACCCCGAAGAUCCCAAAUCCCAAAUCCUGAGGAUCCCAGACCUCAAUUCCCAAACCCCAAAGCCCAAACCUCAGGCCCCGAACAUCCCAGACCCCAAAUCCGAAAUCCCGAAAAUCCCGAAAAUCCCAAACCCCCAGACUCCACAUCCCAAACCCCAAACACCAAAUCUACGAGAUCCCAAACCCCGAAGAUCCCAAACCCCAAACCCCGAAAACCCCGAAUCCCAAAUCCCGAAAAUCCCAAACCCCACAGACCCCAAACCCCGCAGACCCCAAAGCCCGAAUCCCGAAGACCCCAGACCCCGAAUCCCGAA